UACGUAGGGUGCGAGCGUUGUCCGGAAUUAUUGGGCGUAAAGAGCUCGUAGGCGGUUUGUCGCGUCGGCCGUGAAAACUUGGGGCUUAACUCCAAGCUUGCGGUCGAUACGGGCAGACUUGAGUUCGGCAGGGGAGACUGGAAUUCCUGGUGUAGCGGUGAAAUGCGCAGAUAUCGGGAGGAACACCUAUGGCGAAAGCAGGUCUCUGGGCCGUCACUGACGCUGAGCUGCGAAAGCUAGGGGAGCAAACAGG
rnacentral:rRNA from 1 species